rnacentral:lncRNA from 1 species
GUUCAUCUAUAAAUUUCAUGAAAACUCUUUUUCAGUAUUCAUACUUACUCUGACCAGAGAUUUUCUGAACUCAGUCUUACAAAUCAUAUAGGACUUCUUCUUUUCUACCAAAGUCGAUAGAUUCCAUCUAGGUGCAUCCUACUCCAAAUAGCGAACCUGAAUCUAUAAUAGCCAACAUACACAGCAAGGACCCGAAUGGCUAGAGAUCAAAAAAAUGUGCAGUCAAACUAAGUAACCUCGCUGUGAAUAACCAACACACCAUAAGUCAAAGGACCAGUCACACCACU